GGAUAACCGAGAGAAAUCCCGCCUAAUACAACAUAAUGCCGGGAGGGGACAUCCCCUGCCGGCCAAAGGGGGCGACCCCGGUCACGGAUGGGCAUGCGGCGCAUUAGGUAGUUGGUGGGGCAACGGCCCACCAAGCCGACGAUGCGUAGGGGUUCUGAGAGGAAGGUCCCCCACAUUGGAACUGAGACACGGUCCAAACUCCUACGGGAGGCAGCAGUGAGGAAUAUUGGUCAAUGGCCGGAAGGCUGAACCAGCCAAGUCGCGUGAGGGAAUAAGGCCCUACGGGUCGUAAACCUCUUUUGCCAGGGAGCAAUGCCGUCCACGUGUGGACGGAAGGAGAGUACCUGGAGAAAAAGCAUCGGCUAACUCCGUGCCAGCAGCCGCGGUAAUACGGAGGAUGCGAGCGUUAUCCGGAUUUAUUGGGUUUAAAGGGUGCGUAGGCGGCCUGCCAAGUCAGCGGUAAAAUUGCGGGGCUCAACCCCGUACAGCCGUUGAAACUGCCGGGCUCGAGUGGGCGAGAAGUAUGCGGAAUGCGUGGUGUAGCGGUGAAAUGCAUAGAUAUCACGCAGAACCCCGAUUGCGAAGGCAGCAUACCGGCGCCCGACAGACGCUGAGGCACGAAAGUGCGGGGAUCAAACAGGAUUAGAUACCCUGGUAGUCCGCACAGUAAACGAUGAAUGCUAGCUGUCCGGGGGGAUUGACCCCUGGGU
rnacentral:rRNA from 1 species